GAUGAACGCUGGCGGCGUGCCUAAUACAUGCAAGUCGAGCGAACGGACGAGAAGCUUGCUUCUCUGAUGUUAGCGGCGGAAGGGUGAGUAACACGUGGAUAACCUACCUAUAAGACUGGGAUAACUUCGGGAAACCGGAGCUAAUACCGAAUGAUAUUUUGAACCGCAUGGUUCAAAAGUGAAAGACGGUCUUGCUGUCACUUAUAGAUGGAUCCGCGCUGCAUUAGCUAGUUGGUAAGGUAACGGCUUACCAAGGCAACGAUGCAUAGCCGACCUGAGAGGGUGAUCGGCCACACUGGAACUGAGACACGGUCCAGACUCCUACGGGAGGCAGCAGUAGGGAAUCUUCCGCAAUGGGCGAAAGCCUGACGGAGCAACGCCGCGUGAGUGAUGAAGGUCUUCGGAUCGUAAAACUCUGUUAUUAGGGAAGAACAUAUGUGUAAGUAACUGUGCACAUCUUGACGGUACCUAAUCAGAAAGCCACGGCUAACUACGUG
rnacentral:rRNA from 1 species